rnacentral:rRNA from 1 species
UGGGGAAUUUUGGACAAUGGGGGAAACCCUGAUCCAGCCAUCCCGCGUGUGCGAUGAAGGCCUUCGGGUUGUAAAGCACUUUUGGCAGGAAAGAAACGUCAUGGGUUAAUACCCCGUGAAACUGACGGUACCUGCAGAAUAAGCACCGGCUAACUACGUGCCAGCAGCCGCGGUAAUACGUAGGGUGCAAGCGUUAAUCGGAAUUACUGGGCGUAAAGCGUGCGCAGGCGGUUCGGAAAGAAAGAUGUGAAAUCCCAGAGCUCAACUUUGGAACUGCAUUUUUCACUACCGGGCUAGAGUGUGUCAGAGGGAGGUGGAAUUCCGCGUGUAGCAGUGAAAUGCGUAGAUAUGCGGAGGAACACCGAUGGCGAAGGCAGCCUCCUGGGAUAACACUGACGCUCAUGCACGAAAGCGUGGGGAGCAAACAGG